GAACUCCUUACCCCAGCUGCCUGGCUGCCCCCAGCUUCCCAAAGCUCAAAUAAGCGGGGCCGGCGGCGGGGGGAGGAGGAGGAGCCAGGAGGCUCGCCGCUCCAUUCACUCAGCAGCCCAAGCUCAGCCCGGCAGCGCGCGCCGCUCCUCGAGGGCGUCCUCGCAGCGGGGGUGGGGGCGGGUCCGAGGGAGAGUCCCUCUUGGAGACACCCUCCUCUUCAACCAAACACGCGUUCUUAGCUGGCCGGUGUGGCACAACCCUCCCCCCACCUCCCUUUCAGGGCCUUCGCCAGUGUGGGAGCCUCGUCUCACUGGAGAGUCCCCUCAGCUUGCAUUGCGUAAACGUUGUCGCCAUUAAAUUCUGCGGGUCUGGGUCCUGCAGACCCCUGUGGCCCCAGGACUUACCCGAAGGGCGCACUUCUUGGGGAUGCGCAUCCCGUAGUCGCAGGAGAAGGGUAAAGGUACGGAACGGGAGCCCUCCGCUUGCCCCCCAGGCCACCUUUGCUGCUUGACUUUGCUUCAUCUCCACUCAGAAGCUUUAAAAAUUAUUAUUAAGAAAGAUUCUCCAGGACAUUGACCCCUACGCUCUCUGCCCAAUCCCCUCCCACACGCUCUAUCCCUAAAUCUUUAGGGGUUUCGUGCAUUUGGUUUUUUGAGUGGAGAGAGGCCUCGAGAGACAAAUUUCACUACCAGCUGCCCCACGAACGCCCAAAUCCCUGUCUCUCCCUUCCUUCUCCCCGCAUAUUAUUUCUGCUUACAAGUCGUUUUUCUUAACCAGGACUCAAGCACUAUAAGGGACUUCCAUUUCCCAACGAAAAGAUUGAGAUUGUUUCUUCUUUUACCAUCCUUGGCACUUUUAGCGGGGGAAAGGAGGUUAUCUGGAGGGAGACUGGCUUGAAUGUGAGCCUGUGUUUGUGAAACCCAGGUACAGCAAAGACCCGUAAAUCUCUAACCGAUACUUUCAAAAAAUAAGUUUUUGCCCGGGGAGAGGGAGGAUGUAGGGGUGAGUGGGAGGAAAAGGGAGCAGAGCAAAUUUAGGGCUCCUCUUUCCUCUGCCUUUUGUUUUCUCAGAAUCCCUGUGGGGGCGGGGAGGGGAAGUGCACUGGCGCGAACCCCGGGGCGCCCCUUCGCCCCGACUUUGACUUCUCAGACUGAAGAGGUGGGAGGAGUUCCCUGCUGCCUGCAGGGCCGAGAAGUAAAUGCUAAACUCUGGAGCCGCAGUCGCUGGACCCCAAGAUCCGACAGGAAGUCUCCGUAAGACCCCCAAGGAUCCACAGUCCCGGAAACCCAGGCGACCCUAAACCAGCGCUGGGAAAUUGACAAACUCGUGCAGUCACAGGGCGCUCCAAGCCUCUCUUCUCUUCUUUCUUAUGGGUAACUCUGCGAGAACUGAGAUUACCCAAGGGGGGUGCGCCGGCUGCGGCUGCGCUGGCCUUGGCACGGUGAGCUAAGCAGCAGGACGCAAAGCCUGGCCGGUAGGCAGGUCGCACCUUCCACCCGCCACGGAAGGUAUGCGCUCUCCUGCACUUCCUUUAGCUCCAGAGGCCCGCCCAAGGUCCCAGGGAAAAGAAGGCUGUGAGACCUGGGCGCUCCCUUCUUUCCCCCACCUUCCUAUCCCUGUCAGCGCCGCCGAGAUCUGUGGCAGAGGUUCCUAUUCUCAAACACCUAUGGGCAAAGAAAGCUGCAGAUUGAACUCCUCGUUUUAUAGAGAAGGAAACUGAGGCCCAGACAGCCGAAGGAGAGGCAAGCUGUGGAGCGCAGCGGUAAAGAGCAAGGGAUUGGUGAUCCCAGAAUGGAAUCUCAUCUCUGCCAGGUAACCAACAGCUGUGUGACCCUAGACGCAGUCUCUCUCAGCCUAGGUCUCCUUACUGGUCAAACGAGAUAAUGGGAUACUAGCUCCCUCCUCAUGGAGUCUUUCUGAGGAUUAGAUAGGAGAGUAGUGUUGGCCUUCGACUCAAUCAACUUUACAGUUUUUGUUACUACUACUGUUUAAGGACAGGAAGCAAAGCUCAGCUGAAACCCAGGUCUCUCAACGUCCAGUUGGGGGUUUUACCCACCACCCCUCUGCCUCUUUAGGGCUAAUGGGACGCAGAGGCGAGGAGAGCGCCUGGAAAAGCAUUUGGCGUUGGUGCACUGGCAAAGCGCAAGCUUCCAGGCCUCAAGAGUGCAUAAUUAUUGCAAGAUGAAAAAAAUCUAGGCUGGGUGGGAGGAGGGCAGUGAGGAUCUCUCAACCCCUACUUUCACCCCUGCGCUGUCCACUUCAUCUGACCGAGAGCGGAGCUGGACUGCUACAGCCGCAACCCCAGGGACCACUGCGCACUCCCCAGCCGCCCUCGGGGAGUCACCCAGCGGCCACGGACAAUUGAAUAAACACGCCAAAGCGCUGCGGUCGGUCACUGGCGGGGGCAGCCACCCUACGCGCGGGGCAUGCAGGCUGUGAUAAAGAGUGGCUCGACCUCGCUGCCGCCUGUAGCCGGAGAGAAAUUAGCGUUCGACUAGCACCUCUCCUCGCGGCCUGCGCCGAGCCCCACGCACAAGUCAGCUAGACAGCUGCUCCCUCCCUCCUCCCGGCCGACUCCAGCUCCUCGGAAUCUGCCCACUCCGGGAUGCGCGGCAAUUGCUUAGGAUGGUAGAAAUUUCAGCGUCAAUUAUUUAAUUUAAAAAAAAAAAAAAAACAAGGGAAGGGCUUUUGUGAUAGCUACUCCCAGCUUCUUCUGAUCAUUUCAAAAUUAACUCUUUUUUUUUAACUAGUCCCCACUUACGGUUCUAACUCUCCUCUCUAACCCUAUCCCGGGGCUUGGAACCAUUAGAUACUGCGAAGUGCGAUGCAAAAUGUCCCUUUCUCCCCCAGGUCGCAGUGCCUGGGAGCCGCCAGGGUUACCCGUCUGUUCCGAUGCCACCGCGAGAUGGUCCCCGAGCUCCCGGAGAGUCCUCAAUGAAAGGAUUCCGCGGCUCUGCCUCUAUUAUUAUACCGUAAAUCUUUUUAAAUUCUGGAACUAAUUAUAUAGAGGAUAUGUCUCAAUUUGUUCUGCAUUAAUGCUACAGUGGGGAUGGAGGCCAGGCCGUGGCCAGAGCAGAUACGUAGGCCCAUGAAAUUGAUGAACUGAGAGUUGCUUCCAGUCCUGAGCGCACCAUCUGGAAUUCCAGUCUGAGGUUACAAUUAGAACUCCUGACCCCAGAUUCAACUUUGCAAACAACGGGGGGAAAAAAUGGGGAAAAGAAAAACCACUAGAGAGAGAAAAAAAAUUCUGCACCUGUAAAACACACACACACACACACACACACACACACACAAACACAAUCUUAAAAUCUUUCCAUCUUAGACAAUUCUUUCCAAAUAUUUCUUUUGUGUUUUUUAACCUAUAAGAGAUAAUGGAAUAUGUUUUAUAGACUGGAUUUUAUCUCAUCCCUUUUCCCUCUCCCAACUGCCCUCAGUUUAAUAGUUGUCAGUUUUACCUCAGUGUUGAAUUUAAUUAUAUGGGAACAAAAUAUUCCUCAGUAAAUUAGCUUGCUAAAUAUUCUGUCACAUUUACUUCCCCUUUGAGAAAUGGCUUAAUUACAGAAAUCUACCUGUGUCUAGGAACUUUUUUUUCCCCUUUUCUUUUUGACUGCGAUUCUAGCUUAACUGUAAGCAGAGAUUUUAUUUGUGCAAUAAUUUUGUGUUCUAAAUUAGUUUGGCCAAUUUCUUCCCUCUUUCUUUAAUAACAUGCUGCUUUAUUUUCCUCUCACUUUGACCCCCUGAAGAAAACUAGGGACCAGGCAGUACUGGAGAAUCUGUUAAAUUUAUUAGCAUAAAUGCUUAGACAAAACGAGAUAUAAAUCAUUCAGAUGUAUUAAGCUAUAAAGUAUCCCAAUGAAGUCAGUCCCUUGCCAGGGUCCUGGUGUAUAAAUGUUCAUAUAAAACAAGGUAUCGGUAUUAUCUUUCAAACUGAAUAUAUGUUGUAAAAAUAUCCAAGAUUGUGUUAGGAAUAUGGGGCAAGGGGGGCGGUGCAGCAAGACAAGAAGGGGAUAUUCUUUAGAGCAACCUGUUAACGUAGUGGUGGCUCAGAAAGUAUGGUGGAAAGGAAAAAUCUCAACCAUUUGUGUUUGGAGUCUUCUUAGAUAAUAUGCUUUUAAUGAAAGGUAUUAGGAUAUAUUUGGGAGCAAAGGAAUAAGAGAAAAAAAAGGUGACUAGAGGGAGAACAGCAUUGCUUUCUGUAGAAUGCAUUUCCCCCCAAAGAUCAGUUUAGCUUCAGAAAAGUCCACCCAGAGGAAGCACUGGCUCCUCACACAGAUAAUGGAUUCGGAUUAGCCAGUAGUGAAGAGCCACCUGGGCCUUCGUCUGGGAACCAGGAUAUCCAGCCGCUGGUCAGCAGAAGGAUGUGUAUUCAGUCGUGGUAGAAGAAGAAGAAGAAAGCACCUGGGUGUGAGGAAGGGGAAUGGACAGAAUUCCUAGCAGAGGUUUACCAAGACAAAAAUCAGACACAAUGUUUAAGAAGCAAUUGCUCAUGAAGUUCAUAACCAUGGCUCUCUAUAAAUCUUGGCAAAUCGGAAAUGCUUUUUUGGAAAUUAGUGUUUUCAAGACUUUAAAAAAAAAUCAAAUUGUCCACCAGAAAAAGGGAAUAGCUCACCUUCCCCAUCCUUUUUUUUAAAGCAGGGAUAUCCUCAUCCUUUUGGUGCCAUUCAUUUAUUCAUUCCUUCACCAUGCAACAAAGAUUGUCAGGCAUUGUAGCAGCAAGUGGGGACACAGGGUAAUGACAGGCUUACGUUGCUCUCACAGUUAAUAUUCCAGUAGGUAUGACUGAUACUUUACAAGGAAACAAAUGAGACAUUUUCUUUCUCUCUUUCUAUUUUAGAUAAAGUCUCCCUCUGUUGCCAGGCUGGAGUGCAGUGGCACGAUCUUGGCACACUGCAAUCUCCGCCUCUUGGGAUUCAAGCCAUUCACCUGCCUCAGCCUCCCAAGUAGCUAGGAUUAUCGGUGUAUGUCACCACACCCAGCUAAUUUUUGUAUUUUUAGUAGAGACAGGGUUUCACCAUGUUUGCUGGGAUGGUGUCAAUCUCCUGACCUUGUGAUCUGCCCACCUCGGCCUCCCAAAGUGUUGGGAUUAUAGGCUUGAGCCACUGUGCCCAGCCGAGAUAUUUUCAUAUAGUAGUAACUACUAUAUAAGAACAAGGAGAUCUGUAAGAUUGGAGAAUGACUAAAGGUGAGAUGGGGAUGAGGAGCAACAGAUAGCCCUCACUUCUUUUUGCCUUCUGCCCAUGCUACCACAUUUCAAUGUGUUUUUAGGAAGAAGUGCAGGAUUUGAAAGAUUUGGAAUGGUUGGUCUGGAUAAAUCUCUGCCCACAAGACUGGACUUUAUGGAAUCGGCAGGGCAGCUCUUUAUAUAGGUGGCUUAAAAUCAUCACCACUAGCUGAGUGACUCUGAAAGCUACUUAAUCCCUGAGAAACUCAGUUUUCUUCUCUUCAAGAUAAGAAAUAACAGAAAGUCAUGAGGACUAGGUAAGGUAAGGCAUGUAAAUUUCUCUGACGUUAGGAAGCAUUCAGUACAUGGUUUGCUUCUAAUUAAUUAAUAAGUUGUAGGCUUAGUAUUGAUAUUGGUGUGAAUUCAGAGAAGGUGCAAAUAUUUGUUCUUGUUGGAUCGGGGGAAGAGCAGGAAGAGAAACGUUUGCUGAAUCUGACCUUAAACGAGGUUGUUGCCAACUGGAAGGAAAUUUAAAUCAUUUUUCCCUAUUCCAGAACCCUAAAACAGGAAAUGUGUGGCUUUUGCCUCAAAAUCAAGCUUAGGUUCCUUCUUUUAGUACAGAAGCCUGUAAGUUAACAUGAGCCUGACACUCUUAGAAUAGCACUGUUCCUUAAAGCCACAUUUCAGGUUUGCAGCCUCGUCCAGGAUAAAGAAUUCUGGCAUAGGUAUAAAAACACCAGAACUCAAUUCCUUUCUCAGCCAGUUACCAUGAUCUUGGGGAAAAAGCUUCAGCCCUCAAUUUUUCAGUAGCUUUAUCUGUAAAAUGGAGAUGAUAUAAAACGAAAUAAAGAAUCCAUAGGUGAUUUGAAAACUACAAAGUGCUGGACAGUGCAGAAGACCAUCAUGGCAUCUUUCAUGUGAACAUUGGGAAAGGAGUAUGUCUAUUCAGAACACUGGGGCAUGUUGCUUGCUCUCACGGUUCUUCAUUUUCAAGUGGGCAUAGUACCUUUAGUCUUUCAAAACAAUACCUAGCAUAGAGUAUGUGCCAUGUAAGUGUCACUGCUACAGUUAUUGUUCCUGUUCUCUGGCCAUCUUCUUGGGACAAGGAUUGAGCCUUAUAAUUUUCACACAAAGAGAUUUUUACUGUAGCAGUUUACAGUAAUACAGAGAGCAGGGCUUUGGGAUCAGAUGGCUGGGGUUUAAAGCCUCCUCUGCUACUGUUUUCUGUAUGGCUUUGAGUGACUUCCUUUUGAGUGACUUUUCUCUGAGCUUUAAUUUUCAUAACUGUAAAACAGGGCUAAUGAUACUGCCACCUUACAGGAUUGUUUUCAUAACAAAUUAAAACAUCAUAUGUAAAUUGCUUACAUGGUGCUGGCAUGUAGUAAGAAAUCAGUAACUGGUAGUUAUUAAACUUGCGAUUUUUCUAAUCAGACAAUAUUAGCUAUGACUUAAAACAGAUGAGCCUGUAAGAGCUUGAAUUACAGCAUGAUUCUGAAAAAACACAGAAAGUAAUUUCUAGCUUCUUUUAAACUCACCUAUACCACACUGAAAUCUCACUCUUUCGCAUAUGAAAGACUUUGCAACCAAGACAUUGGCAAUGAUUUUCUUUUUGACUAUGAGCCCUUUAGGUUAAAAUUUUGAAUCUCAUAUAUUUUUAAUGGGUUUCUUUGCAAAAUACCCAGCAUAUGUCGAGGACAUUGGUAAUCCCGUGUUUUUCAGAAUAAGCAGGAAAUUGGUUUCAGCCAAUGGGGAGAAAAAGUAGUUCGAUUCUCUUCCUGGAGUUACCGCAUAGCAUUUAUUAAUAGCUCUGUAAACUAUCUGGAACACCGUAUCAGCUUGCUGUUCAAAAUAUGACAAAAGUUUAUGAGAAGUUGCUUAGGAAAAACAAGAUCUAGUCAUUAGAAAUCUGACACUGGUCAAUAGUACAUUUAUUCCAAGUCUCCAUAAAUCACAAACAAAUGACACUUCUAUUGUGAUCACUGUUCCAGAUCUAAAAGACCCUCCCCUUGCUUUGGUAGAAAUUAAGUACAUUUUAGAAAGCCCAGUAUUUUUUCCUCUACCAAUAGAGGCUAAUUACAAAAUUUCCCAAGAAAUAAUAAAUAUUAAACUCUAAUCAACAGAUGUGACACAAGAUAAAUAAGAAGCACAUAACUUAGCUUUCAUUCCCUAUGUCGGGCACAUGUUUAUCUUUAAUUAUCUCCAAGCUGGGAAUGGCAUAAAUGUUAUCUGUUUUAUUUAUUAUUUGUAUCUAGAGUGACACCACAUUUUGAUUUUGCUCAGUACAGUCUCGGCUCAAGCUGUUGUCCCAGCUUAAUUAUUAAUUACUCUUCUUUUACUCCCAAAAGUAUUCUACUUUUGAUGGUAAAUAAGGACUUCACUUGCUUAAAAUUUUAUUAAAAAAAAAAAGAUUUAAGAAAGCCAUUAGAGCAAGGGUAAAAUAUGGGCUAAGUGGGGCUAAUGAGAAGAAAAAAAGAUUGAAUUAGUAUCAAAGGAUGCAGAUAGUUUCUAUAAUUGAACAUAAUACAAUUCUGAACUUCCUGACAGCUAAGUAGGAAAGGGAAAAAUAGCACUGGUUUCAUAUCUUUCAUGGUGCAAUGAAGGAAAGAAGCCUAGUUUUUCAGAAGAGAUGAACUUUUUCUAGUACUAAACUCUAAUAACUUACCUUACUGCCUUUCUUUUUUUUUUUUUUGACACGGAGUUUCUCUCUUGUUACCGAGGCUGGAGUAAAAUGGCGUGAUCUCGGCUCACCGCAACCUCUGCCUCCUGGGUUCAGGCAAUUCUCCUGCCUCAGCCUCCUGAGUAGCUGGGAUUACAGGCACAUGCCACCAUGCCCAGCUAAUUUUUUGAAUUUUUAGUAGAGACAGGGUUUCACCAUGUUGACCAGGAUGGUCUCAAUCUCUUGACCUCGUGAUUCACCCGCCUCGGCCUCCCAAAGUGCUGGGAUUACAGGCACUGCCUUUCUAUAAGAGUUAUCAGACAAUGGUUAGUGACUUCAGCAAUAAUGUUUCAAAAGAUACAGUGACAUUCUCUGAUAGUUUAUUUCAACCCUAUGUCCACAGCAUUAAAAUUGUGGUUCUGUAAACUCUUAAGAGGAGAGACAAUAAUAUUGUACCUUUUUGUAGUUUUCUGGGAGAUCUGACCUGAUUCACAUUAACCUGAUUUGUUAAUUUUUAGAAUAUCUCUAUUGGUAAUUUUUUAAAAAGCAUCUUUUAUCCAUUAAUCAUCAAUUAACUAGAACCAGAAUCAAAACACUGCAAAGGACUUUACCACUGUUCUCCAGAAUCUGCCAACGAUUUGGUGAGAGCUCUAGGGCAGUGGUUGUUCUCAGUUGAGUUGAUUUGCUCCCCAAAAGAUAUCUCGCAAUAUCUAGAGACGCUGUCACUACUUGCAGUAAGAAGGCACUCAUUAGGCCAGGCACGGUGGCUAGCGCCUGUAAUCCCAAACACUUUGGGAGGCCGAGGCAGGCAAAUCAUGAGGUCAGGAGUUCAAGACCAGCCUGACCAACAUGGUAAAACCCUGUCUCUACUAAAAAUACAAAAAAUUGCUGGGUGUAGUGGUGGGCGUCUGUAAUCCCAGCUACUCGGGAGGCUGAGGCAGGAGAAUCGCUUGAGCCCAGGAGGCAGAGGUUGCAGUGAGCCAACAUCAUGCCACUAUAUACUUCAGCCCUAGUUAAAAAAAAAAGAAGGCACUCAUUAGAUGCACAAUCCUGGCAUCUAGUGAGUAGAGGCCAGGGAUGCUGCGAAACGUUCUGUAAUGUACAGGACAGACCCCCAGAAUAAAGAAUUAUCCAGGCUAAAAUAUCAGUAGUGCUGAGACUAAGAAACCCUGCCAUAGGGUACUGUUAGAAGAAGGAAUGCUGACAUCGUUUUUAGCUGGAGUCAAAAGAAAAGAAAAAAAACUAAAGAGGAUGUUGGGCUAGAUUCCUCCAUCCCACCCAGUGGAGCUGGCGGAUGUCUCUCCCCAAGCUCAACAAAUGUCAAGGAGAAAAACAUAAGAAGAGGCAAGUCAUGUGGAAAUGCAAUUCACAAAGGAAAUUGUGGAUAAACUCAUUUAACCAGAAAGGAGGAAGAAUCCAUGUAGAGCAUUAAGAAAGAAAGCCAGAGAGCACACGCAAAUUCAGGGCAAAGAGUUUCUGUUCUGAUGUUAUGGUCCAAGAUCCCUAAAUAUUGCUGGUAUUUUUUAAAACCACGCAAAUCAAGGGCAGCAUAAACUUUUAUGUUCCCAGAGAUGGUCUUUGAAAUACUAAUAGUGUAUAAUACAUGGAUAUGUGCAUAUUUUGCUUCCUCUCCUCCACAUCAUUUUUUACCACUUACAUAAUAGGGAUUCCUUGGAACUCAGUUUUAUAUCACAUUAAAUUUAAAAAUGGGUGCCUGUUUAAAAAUACAACCUAUCAAGGCACAGAAAAUUCUGAACCACUGCUGUAAUGAAUACAUCAUAGGAAUCUCCAUUAAGAAAUACUAUUCUGACCUAGUUCUCUGUGUCAUGCUGUAGAUUGUCCUUCUCUUGACUCAUGGAAUGCUUUGUGAGAACGGACUACAAAGCCGGGUCCCUCGAUAUUAGCCAUCUCACCCUUCAAAGUUCAGCCAGGAGUGGGACAGAACCCUCGUCACCAUGUCGACAUGUUUAUAUCUGGCAUAGGAAAAUACUGCUGUUGCCCAAUUUGGCUUCCCAGUCCAUUCACUUGUCUGGAGACAUAUAUUUUAUGCUUCCCUUUGAUGAUUUACAAAUAAAUUAGCAUGAUUCACUAAGAUCUGCCAGCAUAUAUGCGUUACUGGAGAAAUCUGAGAUGUUGAAAAAGUAUUGUAAUUUAUUAUAUCCCAAACUUUCUUAAGAAAGUUUCUUAAGAACCAAAUAAAUAUCAUCAGCUAGUUUAUA